GCAUGGCUGUCGUCAGCUCGUGUCGUGAGAUGUUGGGUUAAGUCCCGCAACGAGCGCAACCCUUGUUCUGUGUUGCCAGCAUGCCCUUCGGGGUGAUGGGGACUCACAGGAAACUGCCGGGGUCAACUCGGAGGAAGGUGGGGACGACGUCAAGUCAUCAUGCCCCUUAUGUCUUGGGCUGCACACGUGCUACAAUGGCCGGUACAAUGAGCUGCGAUACCGCGAGGUGGAGCGAAUCUCAAAAAGCCGGUCUCAGUUCGGAUUGGGGUCUGCAACUCGACCCCAUGAAGUCGGAGUCGCUAGUAAUCGCAGAUCAGCAUUGCUGCGGUGAAUACGUUCCCGGGCCUUGUACACACCGCCCGUCACGUCACGAAAGUCGGUAACACCCGAAGCCGGUGGCCUAACCCCUUGUGGGAGGGAAUCGUCGAAGGUGGGACUGGCGAUUGGGAC
rnacentral:rRNA from 1 species